rfam:Schistosoma rodhaini strain Burundi genome assembly, scaffold: SROB_scaffold0001095
AUCCAGCUGACGAGUUCCAAAUAGGACGGAACGUUCAUCAAACUGGAU